GCCUUAGCUCAGAGGUAGAGCAUCUGCCUUGUAUGCGGAAGGUCCUAGCUUUAGUCUCUGGCAUCUGCA